GACGAACCACACAAACGUUAUUCGGAAUUACUGGGCUUAAAGGGUGCGUAGGCGGCGCGGAAAGUUGGGUGUGAAAUCCCUCGGCUCAACCGAGGAACUGCGCCCAAAACUACCGUGCUCGAGGGAGAUAGAGGUGAGCGGAACUUAGGGUGGAGCGGUGAAAUGCGUUGAUAUCCUAAGGAACACCCGUGGCGAAAGCGGCUCACUGGGCCUUUUCUGACGCUGAGGCACGAAAGCUAGGGUAGCGAACGGG
rnacentral:rRNA from 1 species